rnacentral:rRNA from 1 species
AAUCAACGCUGGCGGCGUGCCUCAGACAUGCAAGUCGAACGCGAAAGUUCCCUUCGGGGAGCAAGUAGAGUGGCGCACGGGUGAGUAACACGUAGGUAAUCUACCUUUGGAUGGGGAAUAACAACCGGAAACGGUUGCUAAUACCGCAUAAUGCAGCGGCACCUAAUGGUGACAGUUGUUAAAGCGGGGGAUCGAAAGACCUCGCGUCUGAAGAGGAGCCUGCGGCGGAUUAGCUAGUUGGUAAGGUAACGGCUUACCAAGGCGAUGAUCCGUAGCCGGCCUGAGAGGGCGGUCGGCCACACUGACACUGACAUACGGGUCAGACUCCUACGGAGGCAGCAGUCGGGAAUUUUGGGCAAUGGGCGAAAGCCUGACCCAGCAACGCCGCGUGAAGGAUGAAAUCCCUCGGGAUGUAAACUUCGCAAGAACGGGAAGAAUAAGUAAGGGUUAAUAUUCCCUUACGAUGACGGUACUGUUUGUAAGCUCCGGCUAACUCCGUGCCAGCA